rnacentral:rRNA from 1 species
UGGGGAAUAUUGGACAAUGGAGGCAACUCUGAUCCAGCAAUUCUGUGUGUGUGAAGAAGGUUUUAGGACUGUAAAACACUUUUAGUAGGGAAGAAAAAAAUGACGGUACCUACAGAAGAAGCGACGGCUAAAUACGUGCCAGCAGCCGCGGUAAUACGUAUGUCGCGAGCGUUAUCCGGAAUUAUUGGGCUUAAAGGGCAUCUAGGCGGUUAAACAAGUUGAAGGUGAAAACCUGUGGCUCAACCAUAGGCUUGCCUACAAAACUGUAUAACUAGAGUACUGGAAAGGUGGGUGGAACUACACGAGUAGAGGUGAAAUUCGUAGAUAUGUGUAGGAAUGCCGAUGAUGAAGAUAACUCACUGGACAGAAACUGACGCUGAAGUGCGAAAGCUAGGGGAGCAAAUAGG